rnacentral:rRNA from 1 species
UACGUAGGGGUCUAGCGUUGUCCGGAAUUAUUGGGCGUAAAGAGCUCGUAGGUGGUUCGGUAAGUCGGAUGUGAAAUCUCCAGGCUCAACCUGGAGGGGUCAUUCGAUACUGCCGUGACUAGAGGUCGGUAGGGGAGUGUGGAAUUCCUGGUGGAGCGGUGAAAUGCGCAGAUAUCAGGAGGAACACCCGUAGCGAAGGCGGCACUCUGGGCCGAUACUGACACUGGGGAGCGAAAGCGUGGGGAGCGAACAGG